CUGUUACUGUAAAUACAGCCUUGAAUCAGA
rnacentral:rRNA from 1 species